rnacentral:rRNA from 1 species
GGGUUGUGAGGUUAAGCGACUAAGCGUACACGGUGGAUGCCCUGGCAGUCAGAGGCGAUGAAGGACGUGCUAAUCUGCGAUAAGCGUCGGUAAGGUGAUAUGAACCGUUAUAACCGGCGAUUUCCGAAUGGGGAAACCCAGUGUGAUUCGUCACACUAUCAUUAACUGAAUCCAUAGGUUAAUGAGGCGAACCGGGGGAACUGAAACAUCUAAGUACCCCGAGGAAAAGAAAUCAACCGAGAUUCCCCCAGUAGCGGCGAGCGAACGGGGAGCAGCCCAGAGCCUGAAUCAGUGUGUGUGUUAGUGGAAGCGUCUGGAAAGGCGUGCGAUACAGGGUGACAGCCCCGUACACAAAAAUGCACAUACUGUGAGCUCGAUGAGUAGGGCGGGACACGUGGUAUCCUGUCUGAAUAUGGGGGGACCAUCCUCCAAGGCUAAAUACUCCUGACUGACCGAUAGUGAACCAGUACCGUGAGGGAAAGGCGAAAAGAACCCCGGCGAGGGGAGUGAAAAAGAACCUGAAACCGUGUACGUACAAGCAGUGGGAGCACGCUUAGGCGUGUGACUGCGUACCUUUUGUAUAAUGGGUCAGCGACUUAUAUUCUGUAGCAAGGUUAACCGAAUAGGGGAGCCGAAGGGAAACCGAGUCUUAACUGGGCGUUAAGUUGCAGGGUAUAGACCCGAAACCCGGUGAUCUAGCCAUGGGCAGGUUGAAGGUUGGGUAACACUAACUGGAGGACCGAACCGACUAAUGUUGAAAAAUUAGCGGAUGACUUGUGGCUGGGGGUGAAAGGCCAAUCAAACCGGGAGAUAGCUGGUUCUCCCCGAAAGCUAUUUAGGUAGCGCCUCGUGAAUUCAUCUCCGGGGGUAGAGCACUGUUUCGGCAAGGGGGUCAUCCCGACUUACCAACCCGAUGCAAACUGCGAAUACCGGAGAAUGUUAUCACGGGAGACACACGGCGGGUGCUAACGUCCGUCGUGAAGAGGGAAACAACCCAGACCGCCAGCUAAGGUCCCAAAGUCAUGGUUAAGUGGGAAACGAUGUGGGAAGGCCCAGACAGCCAGGAUGUUGGCUUAGAAGCAGCCAUCAUUUAAAGAAAGCGUAAUAGCUCACUGGUCGAGUCGGCCUGCGCGGAAGAUGUAACGGGGCUAAACCAUGCACCGAAGCUGCGGCAGCGACGCUUAUGCGUUGUUGGGUAGGGGAGCGUUCUGUAAGCCUGUGAAGGUGUGCUGUGAGGUAUGCUGGAGGUAUCAGAAGUGCGAAUGCUGACAUAAGUAACGAUAAAGCGGGUGAAAAGCCCGCUCGCCGGAAGACCAAGGGUUCCUGUCCAACGUUAAUCGGGGCAGGGUGAGUCGACCCCUAAGGCGAGGCCGAAAGGCGUAGUCGAUGGGAAACAGGUUAAUAUUCCUGUACUUGGUGUUACUGCGAAGGGGGGACGGAGAAGGCUAUGUUGGCCGGGCGACGGUUGUCCCGGUUUAAGCGUGUAGGCUGGUUUUCCAGGCAAAUCCGGAAAAUCAAGGCCGAGGCGUGAUGACGAGGCACUACGGUGCUGAAGCAACAAAUGCCCUGCUUCCAGGAAAAGCCUCUAAGCAUCAGGUAACAUCAAAUCGUACCCCAAACCGACACAGGUGGUCAGGUAGAGAAUACCAAGGCGCUUGAGAGAACUCGGGUGAAGGAACUAGGCAAAAUGGUGCCGUAACUUCGGGAGAAGGCACGCUGAUACGUAGGUGAAGCGACUUGCUCGUGGAGCUGAAAUCAGUCGAAGAUACCAGCUGGCUGCAACUGUUUAUUAAAAACACAGCACUGUGCAAACACGAAAGUGGACGUAUACGGUGUGACGCCUGCCCGGUGCCGGAAGGUUAAUUGAUGGGGUUAGCGCAAGCGAAGCUCUUGAUCGAAGCCCCGGUAAACGGCGGCCGUAACUAUAACGGUCCUAAGGUAGCGAAAUUCCUUGUCGGGUAAGUUCCGACCUGCACGAAUGGCGUAAUGAUGGCCAGGCUGUCUCCACCCGAGACUCAGUGAAAUUGAACUCGCUGUGAAGAUGCAGUGUACCCGCGGCAAGACGGAAAGACCCCGUGAACCUUUACUAUAGCUUGACACUGAACAUUGAGCCUUGAUGUGUAGGAUAGGUGGGAGGCUUUGAAGUGUGGACGCCAGUCUGCAUGGAGCCGACCUUGAAAUACCACCCUUUAAUGUUUGAUGUUCUAACGUGGACCCGUGAUCCGGGUUGCGGACAGUGUCUGGUGGGUAGUUUGACUGGGGCGGUCUCCUCCUAAAGAGUAACGGAGGAGCACGAAGGUUGGCUAAUCCUGGUCGGACAUCAGGAGGUUAGUGCAAUGGCAUAAGCCAGCUUGACUGCGAGCGUGACGGCGCGAGCAGGUGCGAAAGCAGGUCAUAGUGAUCCGGUGGUUCUGAAUGGAAGGGCCAUCGCUCAACGGAUAAAAGGUACUCCGGGGAUAACAGGCUGAUACCGCCCAAGAGUUCAUAUCGACGGCGGUGUUUGGCACCUCGAUGUCGGCUCAUCACAUCCUGGGGCUGAAGUAGGUCCCAAGGGUAUGGCUGUUCGCCAUUUAAAGUGGUACGCGAGCUGGGUUUAGAACGUCGUGAGACAGUUCGGUCCCUAUCUGCCGUGGGCGCUGGAGAACUGAGGGGGGCUGCUCCUAGUACGAGAGGACCGGAGUGGACGCAUCACUGGUGUUCGGGUUGUCAUGCCAAUGGCACUGCCCGGUAGCUAAAUGCGGAAGAGAUAAGUGCUGAAAGCAUCUAAGCACGAAACUUGCCCCGAGAUGAGUUCUCCCUGAUCCUUUAAGGGUCCUGAAGGAACGUUGAAGACGACGACGUUGAUAGGCCGGGUGUGUAAGCGCAGCGAUGCGUUGAGCUA